rnacentral:rRNA from 1 species
UGGGGAAUAUUGCACAAUGGGCGCAAGCCUGAUGCAGCCAUGCCGCGUGUGUGAAGAAGGCCUUCGGGUUGUAAAGCACUUUCAGCGAGGAGGAAGGUGGUGAGCUUAAUACGCUCAUCAAUUGACGUUACUCGCAGAAGAAGCACCGGCUAACUCCGUGCCAGCAGCCGCGGUAAUACGGAGGGUGCAAGCGUUAAUCGGAAUUACUGGGCGUAAAGCGCACGCAGGCGGUUUGUUAAGUCAGAUGUGAAAUCCCCGGGCUCAACCUGGGAACUGCAUUUGAAACUGGCAAGCUAGAGUCUCGUAGAGGGGGGUAGAAUUCCAGGUGUAGCGGUGAAAUGCGUAGAGAUCUGGAGGAAUACCGGUGGCGAAGGCGGCCCCCUGGACGAAGACUGACGCUCAGGUGCGAAAGCGUGGGGCAGCAAACAGGAUUAGAUACCCUGGUAGUCCACGCUGUAAACGAUGUCGAUUUUGGAGGUUGUGCCCUUGAGACGUGGCUUCCGGAGCUAACGCGUUAAAUCGACCGCCUGGGGAGUACGGCCGCAAGGUUAAAA